GAGGAAACAAAACGGUGUUUCGUAGACAAGACCUUAAAUGCACAUAGGACUCUUCAAACUAAACAAUGGGUGUUCUUGUAAAAAUUUGUCAAAGGUUGUCAAGAAGUUUAGCUGCCUCAACUCCACAGUGCACAUAUAGAAUGAUUUCAAGUUUAAAUGGAAGUGUUGACAGAUAUAAUGGUGUGACUGUUUCAGUGAAGGACAACAUUUCGCCAACAAUGAGUGUUCAAGAUUUUCAAAAUUUGCUGAAAGAAUCUAUAGUCAAAUGGAGAUCAGAGGAGAGAACUGCAAUAUGGUUACAGAUGCCUAUAGAUUACAGUAGAUAUAUAGAAGCAGCUUCAGCAGAAGGAUUUCAGUUUCACAAUGCAGAAAAUAGUCAAUGUUUAUUGAAACUGUGGCUGAGAGAUGGUGUAGAUGCCUCACCAAGGUUUGCAACACAUCAACUUGGUGUUUGUGGAGUAGUUAUAAAACAAGAUACACGGGAGGUUCUUGUGAUGCAGGAAAGAAAAAGUCAAUUCAGUAAAUUUUGGAAAUUCCCUGGUGGACUUGCUGACCUUGGAGAAGAUAUAGCAAAGGCUUUUGACAAGGUUACCCAUCUCAAACUUCUUCACAAUCGGCAAUAAUAAGACGAUUCCCUACAAAUUAUCUAGACACACGUCAUCUCUACAAAACUGUCAACAUUGAUGGAGAUUGCUCUACUGAAGUACUUGUCACUUCAGAGAAUCCCCAAGGAUGUGUCCUAGGCGCACAGUCUGCUUCGUUAUUUAUAUCAACCUGGCAGCUUCCUUCUGCCUGUAACUCUGAUGCUCGAUUCUUUGCCGGCGCUACUGAGGUCUCAAAUCAUUCUCUUUACAGCAAGACUUUGACAAGGUGAUGCUGCGGUUAGGGAAACAUUCGAAGAAACUGGUAUUAAUUCUGAAUUUGCGUCUGUGAUAGCGUUUAGACAACAACACGAACACCCGAGCGCUUUCGGUCGAUCUGACCUUUAUGUUAUAUGUCGCCUACGACCU
rnacentral:misc_RNA from 1 species